rnacentral:lncRNA from 1 species
UUUACUAUGGGGGCUGAGUGAGGACCUUGCCUCGCUGCUUCCCGUCUGGAAGCAUGACGGCUGCUACCACGCCAGGCCGAGGGGAGGGCAGCACACACAGCACCCAUCAGAUUUCACAGUGGCUCCCCCAGUCCCAGCUUGCAAAGGAGGCCAGGUCACUGCUGGAAGAUGCCAAGAGCGGAGCUGAGAGUGCAGCACAAGGACCUCUGAGAAGUCUUGUCUUCCUCCAAGCAGUGAGAAAAGUGGCGGGAAGGUCAGAAUACAUUUUUAAGUACUCUGGAAAUUCACCGAAGGCUUGCAGCAAGCUAUGUAGAGUUAUUUUAUUUUUCUGA